AGCUGGUGAAUUUCGGUACUGCUGCAAAGGAUAAUGCAGGAUGAAAGUGAUGUCUGCCUUUAUUAAAAGAGUUGGUAUGAAAUAGCAAAUGUGUCUGUAUUUCUGAAGACCCAACUUUUGCUAAGAAGGAAACUGUGUUCACAGAGGAGCAUUGUGAUUCACAACUUUUAACAAUGAAGCAGCACAGGAAGAAUUCACAGUGCAAAAGGAGUCAGGAGAUGAACACAGACAAGAGGCAGGAGUACCAACAGAGCACUGUGGAUCAGCACAGCAUAAGCCAGCAGGAAACAUUUCAAGCAGUUGUUGCAGAAAAUGAGUAUUUCAAGUAA
rnacentral:lncRNA from 1 species